rnacentral:rRNA from 1 species
GACGUAGGGCGCGAGCGUUGUCCGGAUUUAUUGGGCGUAAAGAGCUCGUAGGCGGCUUGUCGCGUCGACUGUGAAAACCCGCGGCUCAACUGCGGGCCUGCAGUCGAUACGGGCAGGCUAGAGUUCGGUAGGGGAGACUGGAAUUCCUGGUGUAGCGGUGAAAUGCGCAGAUAUCAGGAGGAACACCGGUGGCGAAGGCGGGUCUCUGGGCCGACACUGACACUGAGAGACGAAAGCUAGGGGAGCGAAUGGG